rnacentral:rRNA from 1 species
GAUGAACGCUAGCGAUAGGCUUAACACAUGCAAGUCGAGGGGCAGCACAAGGUAGCUUGCUCUCUGGGUGGCGACCGGCGCACGGGUGCGUAACGCGUAUGCAACUUGCCCUAUACAGGAGGAUAACCCGUCGAAAGACGGACUAAUACUGCGUAUGCUCACAACUUGGCAUCAAGUGGUGAGGAAAGAAAUUCGGUAUAGGAUAGGCAUGCGCCCCAUUAGCUUGUUGGUGAGGUAACGGCUCACCAAGGCAACGAUGGGUAGGGGAACUGAGAGGUUUAUCCCCCACACUGGUACUGAGACACGGACCAGACUCCUACGGGAGGCAGCAGUGAGGAAUAUUGGUCAAUGGGCGCGAGCCUGAACCAGCCAAGUCGCGUGAAGGAUGACUGUCUUAUGGAUUGUAAACUUCUUUUAUACGGGAAUAACAAGAGUCACGUGUGACUCCCUGCAUGUACCGUAUGAAUAAGCAUCGGCUAACUCCGUG